rnacentral:rRNA from 1 species
GACGAACGCUGGCGGCGUGCUUAACACAUGCAAGUCGAGCGGUAAGGCCCUUUCGGGGGUACACGAGCGGCGAACAGGUGAGUAACACGUGGGUGACCUGCCCUUAGCUCUGGGAUAAGCCUGGGAAACUGGGUCUAAUACCGGAUAUGACCUCAUGACUCAUGUUGUGGGGUGGAAAGCCUUGUGCGGCUAGGGAUGGGCCCGCGGUCUAUCAGCUUGUUGGUGGGGUAAUUGCCUACCAAGGCGACGACGGGUAGCCGGCCUGAGAGGGCGACCGGCCACACUGGGACUGAGACACGGCCCAGACUCCUACGGGAGGCAGCAGUGGGGAAUUUUGGACAAUGGGGGAAACCCUGAUCCAGCCAUUCCGCGUGAGUGAAGAAGG